rnacentral:misc_RNA from 1 species
AAGAACAGGCGAAACACCUAAGUGAACAACCAGUACGACGCGUAGUGUGCAGUCUUGAAGAUUUCUCGCUUGGUGGUCAUAAACCAACCUUUCCAGAUAAGCAAGGUAUCACUUUUUCUAUCUGCCAAAACAACCACUACGCCACUUUCUAUGAUAAUGAUUGGGGAAUUGCGCGUUAUGCAGUAUAAAAGAUUACUGCCUCGCAAGCAACGGCAGCCAGGGUGAAAAGACCUAAUGACCCAUGGAAACCGACUGAGAAUCCAGGGAAUAUGAUUAUUCGUCAAGGGAGCAAUGACCUGUAUAAAUAUCAACCUAAUCAGGGCGAAUAUGAGAGAGGCCACCUCGUUCCUGUGGAUAUCUUAAGUUACAGCGACGACAGUGUUCUUGCCACCUUCACCUACACCAACUGCGUACCGCAAAUUGCAAAUUUCAACAAAGGACAGUGGAAAAAGUACGAAAAGAAAAUAGUCAACUAUGCUUCGUCCGUCUGUUCUCCAAAUAGCGGAACCCUUUACCUUAUCACUGGUACAUCUCAGGUUCAAUUUGGUGCAAAACUUAAUCCUCAAGGUGAAAUAAUUGGGGUGGAUACGAAAGUCAAACCAAUGGGGUUGUUCCAUGACAACGUGGAUAUAAACCCGAAACUCGGGUCGAAGAUCGCAAUUCCAAACUCAAUGUGGACAGUGGGCUGUUGUUGGAAUGCUAAGAAUGGAGUCGUAGGAGCGUUUGGUGUGAUGGGCACAAAUUCUUUAAACAAACCCUUAAAUAAGUUUAUGAUGCCCAAACAAAGCGUCGCAGAUGUUGAAAGCGUCCUUAAAUUAGAGGAUCCAACAAUUAAGUUGUUUCACGACGGCAAUUGCUAUGCGUCAGGAAAAAACGUUGCGUUGGUCGAUGUUCUCGGUUGAUAAAAGCAUGGUACAAUUAUUGACGUCAAGAAUAUUUAGGCACCAUGCAUGAAAUAUCCAGAUUCAAAUCAAAUUAGAAUUUUUAGAGCUUGAUUCCCACUCGUUAGAUUAAAACGUAUAAAUAUGCAUGUUACUUUAUCUACAGAACAAUCUUUAUUAUAAUGAAGAAAUUAAA